rnacentral:rRNA from 1 species
AGAUUGAACGCUAGCGGGAUGCUUUACACAUGCAAGUCGAACGGCAGCGCGGACUUCGGUCUGGCGGCGAGUGGCGAACGGGUGAGUAAUAUAUCGGAACGUGCCCAGUAGCGGGGGAUAACUACGCGAAAGCGUGGCUAAUACCGCAUACGCCCUACGGGGGAAAGGGGGGGAUCGCAAGACCUCUCACUAUUGGAGCGGCCGAUAUCAGAUUAGCUAGUUGGUGAGGUAAAGGCUCACCAAGGCGACGAUCUGUAGCUGGUUUGAGAGGACGACCAGCCACACUGGGACUGAGACACGGCCCAGACUCCUACGGGAGCAGCAGGUGGGAAUUUUGGACAAGUGGGGGAAACCUGAUCCAGCCACGUCCGCGUGUGCGAUGGAAGGCCGUUCGGGUUAGUAAGGUACUACGUUUGGUACCGAGGGAAGAACGGACGUA